AAAUUGAAGAGUUUGAUCAUGGCUCAGAUUGAACGCUGGCGGCAGGCCUAACACAUGCAAGUCGAACGGUAACAGGAAUCAGCUUGCUGAUUCGCUGACGAGUGGCGGACGGGUGAGUAAUGUCUGGGAAACUGCCUGAUGGAGGGGGAUAACUACUGGAAACGGUAGCUAAUACCGCAUAAUGUCGCAAGACCAAAGAGGGGGACCUUCGGGCCUCUUGCCAUCGGAUGUGCCCAGAUGGGAUUAGCUAGUAGGUGGGGUAACGGCUCACCUAGGCGACGAUCCCUAGCUGGUCUGAGAGGAUGACCAGCCACACUGGAACUGAGACACGGUCCAGACUCCUACGGGAGGCAGCAGUGGGGAAUAUUGCACAAUGGGCGCAAGCCUGAUGCAGCCAUGCCGCGUGUAUGAAGAAGGCCUUCGGGUUGUAAAGUACUUUCAGCGGGGAGGAAGGGAGUAAAGUUAAUACCUUUGCUCAUUGACGUUACCCGCAGAAGAAGCACCGGCUAACUCCGUGCCAGCAGCCGCGGUAAUACGGAGGGUGCAAGCGUUAAUCGGAAUUACUGGGCGUAAAGCGCACGCAGGCGGUUUGUUAAGUCAGAUGUGAAAUCCCCGGGCUCAACCUGGGAACUGCAUCUGAUACUGGCAAGCUUGAGUCUCGUAGAGGGGGGUAGAAUUCCAGGUGUAGCGGUGAAAUGCGUAGAGAUCUGGAGGAAUACCGGUGGCGAAGGCGGCCCCCUGGACGAAGACUGACGCUCAGGUGCGAAAGCGUGGGGAGCAAACAGGAUUAGAUACCCUGGUAGUCCACGCCGUAAACGAUGUCGACUUGGAGGUUGUGCCCUUGAGGCGUGGCUUCCGGAGCUAACGCGUUAAGUCGACCGCCUGGGGAGUACGGCCGCAAGGUUAAAACUCAAAUGAAUUGACGGGGGCCCGCACAAGCGGUGGAGCAUGUGGUUUAAUUCGAUGCAACGCGAAGAACCUUACCUGGUCUUGACAUCCACAGAACUUUCCAGAGAUGGAUUGGUGCCUUCGGGAACUGUGAGACAGGUGCUGCAUGGCUGUCGUCAGCUCGUGUUGUGAAAUGUUGGGUUAAGUCCCGCAACGAGCGCAACCCUUAUCCUUUGUUGCCAGCGGUCCGGCCGGGAACUCAAAGGAGACUGCCAGUGAUAAACUGGAGGAAGGUGGGGAUGACGUCAAGUCAUCAUGGCCCUUACGACCAGGGCUACACACGUGCUACAAUGGCGCAUACAAAGAGAAGCGACCUCGCGAGAGCAAGCGGACCUCAUAAAGUGCGUCGUAGUCCGGAUUGGAGUCUGCAACUCGACUCCAUGAAGUCGGAAUCGCUAGUAAUCGUGGAUCAGAAUGCCACGGUGAAUACGUUCCCGGGCCUUGUACACACCGCCCGUCACACCAUGGGAGUGGGUUGCAAAAGAAGUAGGUAGCUUAACCUUCGGGAGGGCGCUUACCACUUUGUGAUUCAUGACUGGGGUGAAGUCGUAACAAGGUAACCGUAGGGGAACCUGCGGUUGGAUCACCUCCUUA
rnacentral:rRNA from 1 species